CAGAAACCCAAGAAAGAGGAGGAAGGCGAGGAACCAUCAUGGAAGGACAGGCCCCUGCACGGUAUGUACCACCGGCAGAUAGAGGAGGUGGCUGAUAUCCAGAAAUCCUACCAGUGGCUGGACAAAGCUGGACUGAAAGACAGCACAGAGGCACUAAUCAUGGCAGCACAAGAACAAGCUCUGAGUACGAGAUCCAUAGAGGCUGGGGUCUAUCACACCAGGCAAGACCCCAGGUGCAGGCUGUGUAAAGAUGCCCCAGAGACAAUCCAGCACAUAACAGCAGGGUGCAAGAUGCUAGCAGUGGCCGGCAUAGUGUACAGGAACAUCUGUGCCGAGUAUAACCUGGAAGUCCCGAGGUCAAAAUGGGAGACGCCCCAAGGG
ensembl:lncRNA